UCAACGGCAAUUUAAAGAUUAAA
rnacentral:snRNA from 1 species